GGGGGUGACAGGUUUCGACGGGCAGUUGCCUUGACCGGAGAAGCGUGUCGAGAAGCCAAGGUGAUCUCGUUAAGAAUCCUUGGAAAACAAUAACUGCCAAUAACAAGCAGUCUGCUGACGCUUUCGCCCUCGCGGCGUAAGCACUGAUCAGCCGUCAGCCCGAUGAGUCCCCGAAUCGGGAUCUGGCGUCGCUAGGGGACUAACCAAUCGCUCCGGUCACGGGAGCAGGCGGAAAACCAAACAGUGACUGGGCCGCCACCGGUCAGUGCCGCACGAAGGCCGGGGGCCGAGAAGCGAUAGCGCGGCUACACACGUAGAAGAACGGAAGAGUCCUGCACGGACCCGGGUUCGAUUCCCGGCACCUCCACGA
rnacentral:tmRNA from 1 species